AUUCAGCUGACGAGUCUUGAAUAGGGCGAAACGCGCGUUCUGGAU
rnacentral:hammerhead_ribozyme from 1 species